CUUACACAUGCAAGUCGAACGCAAGCUUCGGGUUGAGUGGCGGACGGGUGAGUAACGCGUGAGAAUCUGCCUUGGGGUCGGGGACAACCACUGGAAACGGUGGGUAGUACCGGAUAAGCCUUUGGGUAAAAGAUUUAUUGCCCCAAGAGGAGCUCGCGUCUGAUUGGCUAGUUGGUGAGGUAAAAGCUCACCAAGGCAGCGAUCAGUAGCUGGUCUGAGAGGACGAUCAGCCACACUGGGACUGAGACACGGCCCAGACUCCUACGGGAGGCAGCAGUGGGGAAUUUUCCGCAAUGGGCGAAAGCCUGACGGAGCAAGACCGCGUGAGGGAGGAAGGCUCUUGGGUUGUAAACCUCUUUUCUCAGGGAAGAAGCUCUGACGGUACCUGAGGAAUCAGCCUCGGCUAACUCCGUGCCAGCAGCCGCGGUAAUACGGAGGAGGCAAGCGUCAUCCGGAAUUAUUGGGCGUAAAGCGUCCGCAGGUGGCGAUUCAAGUCUGCUGUCAAAGCACGGGGCUUAACUCCGUUAAGGCAGUGGAAACUGAAUAGCUAGAGUGCCGUAGGGGUAGAGGGAA
rnacentral:rRNA from 1 species